rnacentral:tRNA from 1 species
GGAUGUGGCUUAGUGGUAGAGCGCUUGCCUAGCACAUGCGAGGCCCUGGGUUCCAUCCUCAGCACCA